UCAACGACAAAGAUUUGCUUGGUUUAUUCCCUUCUGUUGUGCUAAAAUGGCUUUUUAUGGUUGGUUACUGAUGCGGGGAAGAUCUUGGAAACAUUUUGACUAAAAUAAUUUUGUUUUGGAAGAAGAGGGCCGCAAAAGAGCCAAAUACUCGCUUCGUAUGGCUAGUUAUUCUUCAUCGAACUACAGGAUUUGCAGUUGAAGCUCGUAAAGGCGCAAAGAUCGUUUGAGCCAUCGCAUCUACAUAUAAGACGGCAAAGAAAAUAAACAAAGAGAAGAAGCAACAAGAAGAUGCAGAGAAUGCUAAGGAUUUUUAAUGAUUUUCUAAUAAUUUUUUAUCAACGGAAUUCAAGGAUAUAAAAAGGGCAAAUCUAUCAACAUUCAGACAAGAAAGAAAAUGAAAAAAGCCUUGUCACACAGCAUCUCUUUUGGAUAAAUAAAGACAGUUCUGUUUC